rnacentral:rRNA from 1 species
CCUACGGGUGGCAGCAGUGAGGAAUAUUGGUCAAUGGCCGCAGGGCUGAACCAGCCAAGUCGCGUGAGGGAUGACGGUCCUAUGGAUUGUAAACCUAUUUUGUCAGGGAGCAAAGGGGACCGAGUGUGGCGUUUUGCGAGUACCUGAAGAAAAAGCAUCGGCUAACUCCGUGCCAGCAGCCGCGGUAAUACGGGGGAUGCAGGCGUUAUCCGGAUUUUUUGGGUUUAAAGGGUGCGCAGUCGGAAUGACAAGUCAGCGGUAAAAUUUCGGGGCUCAACCCCGUCGUGCCGUUGAAAAUGGCGUUCUUGAGUGAGCGAGAAGUAUGCGGAAUGCGUGGUGUAGCGGUGAAAUGCAUAGAUAUCACGCAGAACUCCGAUUGCGAAGGCAGCAUACCGGCGCUCAACUGACGCUCAUGCACGAAAGCGUGGGUAUCGAACAGGAUUAGAUACCCGGGUAGUC